GGGCGCGUGGCCUAGUCUGGAUAGGGCGGCAGCCUCCUAAAUAAUAUUGGAGCUAGCUGUAGGUCGGGGGUUCGAAUCCCCCCGCGCCCG
rnacentral:tRNA from 1 species